CCUACGGGAGGCAGCAGUGAGGAAUAUUGGUCAAUGGACGGAAGUCUGAACCAGCCAUGCAGCGUGCAGGAAGACGGCUCUAUGAGUUGUAAACUGCUUUUGUACAAGGGUAAACCUGAAUACGUGUAUUUAGCUGAAAGUACUUUACGAAUAAGGAUCGGCUAACUCCGUGCCAGCAGCCGCGGUAAUACGGAGGAUCCCAGCGUUAUCCGGAUUUAUUGGGUUUAAAGGGUGCGUAGAUGGAUUGAUAAGUUAGAGGUGAAAGGUGGGGGCUCAACCGGGGAAGUGCAUCUGAUACUGGUAGUCGAGAGUACAGAUGCGGUAGGCGGAAUGUAUGGUGUAGCGGUGAAAUGCUUAGAGAUCAUACAGAACACCGAUUGCGAAGGCAGCUUACCAAUCUAUAUCUGACGUUGAGGCACGAAAGUGUGGGGAUCAAACAGGAUUAGAUACCCUGGUAGUC
rnacentral:rRNA from 1 species